rnacentral:rRNA from 1 species
AACGAACGCUGGCGGCAUGCCUAACACAUGCAAGUCGAACGAAACCUUCGGGUCUUUUGGCGCACGGGUGCGUAACGCGUGGGAACCUGCCCUUAGGUUCGGAAUAACUCCCCGAAAGGGGUGCUAAUACCGGAGAAUGUCUUCGGACCAAAGAUUUAUCGCCUUUGGAUGGGCCCGCGUUGGAUUCGCUAGUUGGUAGGGUAAAAGCAUACUAAGGCGACGAUCCAUAGCUGGUCUGAGAGAAUGAUCAGCCACACUGGGACUGAGACACGGCCCAGACUCCUACGGAAGGGAGCAGAGGGGAAUAUUGGACAAUGGGGGAAAGCCUGAUCCAGCAAUGCCGCGUGAGUGAUGAAGGCCUUAGGGUUGUAAAGCUCUUUUACCCGGGAUGAUAAUGACAGUACCGGGAGAAUAAGCUCCGGCUAACUACGUG